rnacentral:misc_RNA from 1 species
UUUCCGUAGGUGAACCUGCGGAAGGAUCAUUAUUGAAUGAAACACUUCUGGCUUUAUGCUGUUGUGCUGGCCCUUUGGGCAAUGUGCACACGGCUCUGGUCACUUGUUUCUUCUGUUCCACCUGUGCACUGCCUGUAGACACGCUGUGUCUAUGAUAUUUGUUAACACACAACAAUGUUAGUUGGCAUGUUAUAUAUAAUAAUAAAAUAUACAACUUUCAACAACGGAUCCCUUGGCUCUCGCAUCGAUGAUGAACGCAGC